rnacentral:rRNA from 1 species
UACAGAGGGUGCGAGCGUUAAUCGGAAUUACUGGGCGUAAAGCGCGCGUAGGCGGCUUUGCAAGUCGGGUGUGAAAUCCCCAGGCUUAACCUGGGAACUGCAUUCGAGACUGCAUUGCUAGAGUAUGGGAGAGGGAAGUGGAAUUUCCGGUGUAGCGGUGAAAUGCGUAGAUAUCGGAAGGAACAUCAGUGGCGAAAGCGGCUCUCUGGUCCCAUACUGACGCUGAGGCGCGAAAGCUAGGGUAGCAAACAGG